UUCAGUUUGUCCUUUGUACAGGGUAAACAUAUCAGAAUGAUUUGUCUGUAAUGCAUCUAAACUGACAAGGAAGAAAACACAGGAUCACAGGCACAACUAAAAGGCACCUCAGGUAAACAAUGAAGAUGGAUGGAUACUAGUAUACUUAUGGAUGGACGAGCGACUGCCGACACAGAGCAGUGAUGACAGCAUGACAUCACAUACGCCGUGCCGGAAAAGGAAGCCACUGGGACCUGAGGAGGGUUUGAAUGCUGUCCAACAGACACAGCAUGUAAUUCUGCAUACAUCUUUUGCUCUGCAUAUAUGUUUCAGAUGAUCCAUAAUGUCAGAGUGCAGGAAUGGGCAUCCCCUGGCUUUAAACAUUUGAUUCAUCAUUUGAUGUGUUCCUGGUAUCAUUCAGAUCAGAAAGAUGAUCUCUGAUUUUUCAGACAAGUUACCAGACAUCAGCAUGCCGGCUGGAGGAGCCAGUUUAUUCAUGGUUACUCACUGUUUGAAGAGAGGAGCACACGGCAGGCUUUGCAGACACAGAGUAUCACAGCCUAACAGACUGCUGCAGGAUUCUUUCACACUCUGAGAGCACUAGCAGUCCAAGUUAAACUUCUUCUGACACCAUGGUUUGUUCAUAUGUUUGUAAAUCCAGUCAUGGGGACACAGAGACAUGUGAGUUCACUGCUGUGCUGUUUAUUCCAUCCCCAACUCCAAGCACACUGUACACUGGACCACCCACUUCCCAGCAUCCCCCUGGUCCCAGGGACCAUCACUGAAGAUUCAGGCUAACACAGAUUAGUAAGGGAGUGUCUACAAAUAUUAAGCAUUCUAAUACACUAACAUCACAGUGUGAAUUCAGUUCAGCGUCUUAACCAACGGACCAGUGUUCCUGAAGUGAAACGAACACGUCCUUCCC